GGCUGGAUAUCCUCUGAGGCAAAGGGCUCAUAACUAAAAGGAGAAUUAGUAGAAAAAUGCAAAUGUCUAAAAAAUUCAGACCUAGUCCUGAGUAGGCACUCGAUAAAAUGCAUGUGAGUAAAUCAGUGAGACUGUUUCACCUUGUCAAGGAGAUAUCAUUCUGAAAAUGUUUUUGGUAAAAGAUAAUGUUUGUUGGAAGAAUAAUCAGACUCUACAUUGUUCCAAGGAAGAUGUUUUUGUCUGUAUUUUUCUGUCUAUUCAAGAGUGGAAAAGAGGCUUGCUUUUUACUCUAUGCUCUUUUUGAACUGUUGCAUUAAAAAAGAUUCAUGUCCAUAUUUUAUCUUUAAAAAACAUAAUAGAAGAGAAAGAGUCUUUGCUUUUUGUAACUUUGCCUGUGCUUUCUGAAACUUACCUACAUUGUAACAUACAUGAAUUUAGGGACCUACACCAGAAAGAUUCAGGGGACUACUCAUCUUUCCUAGACCUACUUUUGUAUUCUGGGGCCAUAAUCUAGCAGAGGCAUCAAGAUUAGAGGCAUAUUUAUCAUUGUUGUUAAAACUGUCUACAGGAUAACUGCACAGGACUUUUCUAGUUCAAGGGCCCUUACAUGAAGGUAUUUAAUAGCCCAAAUUCAAGAAGAGAUUCCCCAUUUCUGAAGACUGCAUGUUAGGCU
rnacentral:lncRNA from 1 species